GCCGUUGUAAACAUGUUUCG
rnacentral:miRNA from 1 species